UGCCAACAAAAGGCUGUCUAGUCAAAGCUAUGGUUUUCCCAGUAGUCAUGUAUGGAUCUAAGCAUUGGACUAUAAAGAAAGCUGAGCGCCAAGGAAUUGAUGCUUUUGAACUGUGGUGUUGGAGAAGACUCGAGUGUCUCUUGGACAGCAAGGAGAUCCAACCAGUCUAUCCUAAAGGAAAUCAGAUCUGAAUAUUCAUUGGAAGGACUGAUGUUGAAGCUGAAAUCCCAAUACUUUGGCCACCUGAUGCAAAGAACUGACUCAUUUGAAAAGACCCUGAUGCUGGGAAAGAUUGAAGGUGCUGAAGAGCUCCCAAAGCAACUGGAGCCCAAGAAGCCAUGAUCCUGGGGAGCAGGUAGGCCCAGAGAAGACAGCCUGGCAGGCGUUGCUGCCACUUUGUUCCACCAUGACAUUGCUGCUGUGAAAGUGAUGGCUGAGAGGCUGAGGCACUGAGCGGGAGGGGAAAUAUAAAAGAUGCUGAAACAAAGCAAAAUGCAUUUUUAGACACCUCAGGGCCGCCACACAGGAGCAGGGCUAGCACCCACCAGGCUUUUAGCGAUGCUGUGAAGGACACGCCUACCCAGGAGCAGAGGAAAACAGGGGCUGCCUCCAAUCGGCUCAGUCUAUGGUGGAUUAGAGUCACCUGCCCUGCCCUGACUGCCCCCGUGUUAGUGAAUCAGCUCUAAGUUCAUAAUUGGUUUCUUAUUUCAUUGUGGGCUUGUGAAAGCUGAGUGUUAUGUCUGGUGUUUAAGAUAAGCAGCUUUACAAGCAUGUUUUCUUCCCAUAGUAGCUUAAAAGGUGCUUGUGACAGUUUCUAAAACCUAAACACAAAACACACAGGCUUUUCUGUUUUUCUGAGUUUUGUUUUGUUCUGUCUUUAAAUUCUUUUUCAGGCUUUUUGACGCAUCUGGAAGGAUAUGUAUCAACACUAUUAGAGUGGUUCUCUCAGCCUGGC
ensembl:lncRNA